CUGGACUAUUUGUUUUUCAGGUGUGGAGUUUGAUUCCCCGAGUGACCCUGAGGGAGCUCCCUCCCCCCGCCCUUCUUCAUUUCUGCCUUCCCGGCUUUCCAAGGACAGUGCGGACAGCUGUGAUUACACUUUGGGUUCUCUGGAGGAGACAGAGCGAGGUAGAGAAAGGAGCCUGUGCUGUGGUCUAGCUCCAGUUGGAGCACUGCUGUUUUUGAGCUGGGGUCCUUGGACGAGUCCUUCAGCUUUCUGAGCCUGAGAUUUCCGCUUGCCCGCUUCUCUGCCUCCUCCAGGUUUUGAUCCAGCCACUUGAUGUAACUAUUCCUAGUCCGGAUUCCCACUGAGAAGUUGGUAGGCCAGCUGGUGAAAAUCAUGCAUCCGUGGAAGCCGUCCUCAAAGUGAUCCAGGGUCACCGCCACCCCUGCGCUCUCCAGACGCUUUGCAUACAUGAUCCCAUCGUCUCUUAGGACGUCAUGCUCACACGUCAGAAUGUAGGUCUUCGGGAGGUGCCGCAGGACUUCCUGGUCUGCAAUGAGCGGGGCCGAGCGGACAUCCAACAGCUGAGGGAUCUCGCGCACAAUCCUGGCGUUGCCCGUGGGCUGCACCACAGUUGGCCCGCACUGAGUGAAAAGGAAGUUUUCAGCAAAUCUUUCCUUCCUUAGAGGAGAACCCUCAAGGGUUUGUUCUGCCCAUCGUUCAGGGCUGCCCAAUAGGAGGGAUGCAUGAAGAUUUCUCAACUCAGAACUCAAAGGAAGAGCAGGAAAAGGAAAAGAGAAAGUCACAGGUUCUGCAAAGCAUUUUCAUGCGUGAGAUCUGAUUCUUUUGGAUCAGCUCUGAGUGGGAAAUUGGACAGGUAUCUUCAGUCCCGUUUUAUCAAGAAGGCAUAGAAAUUAAACAUGACCAUUUGGCUGGCAACUGGAAUUUCUACAGCCAGCAGUUAAGGUGGUUCAGUCACUCCUUGGCCCAUGUGUCCCAGAGGCUCAAGAAGACAGGCACGGGCCACUGUCAUAGAAUGCAGAGUCUCUAAAAAUGGCGGUUUUACAUCUACCCCAGGAGAAGCUUCUCUUUUUAACAGACUCAGGAAACAAGAGCAAUGAACUCCUUAGUCAAGAUCCACAGUCACAACAAAUCAUCUAAGGUGUUUAACAUCUAAGAGCCUAAGUUGAAUUAAAAUAUCUAUACACCAGAUAA